rnacentral:rRNA from 1 species
UGGGGAAUAUUGCACAAUGGGGGAAACCCUGAUGCAGCGACGCCGCGUGAGCGAUGAAGUAUUUCGGUAUGUAAAGCUCUAUCAGCAGGGAAGAAGAUGACGGUACCUGACUAAGAAGCCCCGGCUAACUACGUGCCAGCAGCCGCGGUAAUACGUAGGGGGCAAGCGUUAUCCGGAUUUACUGGGUGUAAAGGGAGCGUAGACGGCGGUGCAAGCCAGAUGUGAAAGCCCGGGGCUCAACCCCGGGACUGCAUUUGGAACUGUAUGGCUGGAGUGUCGGAGAGGCAGGCGGAAUUCCUAGUG